UACGUAGGGUGCAAGCGUUAAUCGGAAUUACUGGGCGUAAAGCGUGCGCAGGCGGUUUUGUAAGUCUGUCGUGAAAGCCCCGGGCUCAACCUGGGAAUUGCGGUUGAAACUGGCGAACUAGAAUCUGGCAGAGGGGGGGUGGAAUUCCACGUGUAGCAGUGAAAUGCGUAGAGAUGUGGAGGAACACCGAUGGCGAAGGCAGCCCCCUGGGCUGAGAUUGACGCUCAGGCACGAAAGCGUGGGGAGCAAACAGG
rnacentral:rRNA from 1 species